rnacentral:lncRNA from 1 species
GCAGAAUUAUAGAUAAUUAUUGUUGGAAAGACCGUUCCUAUAGGUCUACCUAAUCUGGGAGGGGCCUCAAGUGCUGAGUCACAGUUCAAUGGAGUUAGUUUGGCCAGGGAGAGAGGAGUACAAGCUGUGUGGGUCUGUUCCUCCAUGUUUACCCCCUUUGUGUGCGAAGUAUGCGUCCUUGACUUGAAAUCCAUCUGACUUCAAUCCACCCAGAAGAACAAGAAGCAUUGAGAACGUCUUACACUAUCCAUUUGGCUUUAAUCCAAUCAGAAGAACAAGAAGCGUUGGCUCCUCAUAUCGUAAGUCACUAUUCAUUAUUCAGCUUGACUGAUGUAGCAUUGUUAGUAUUAACAGCAUUAGCAUUGUGUGUAUUGGAACUACACAAAAAAUUAAGGAAGAAAAACAGUGGCACCUCAACAGUGUUUCAGCCGCACCAAAAACAGAAUUGCAGCGCCCUCCCAGGGCACAUCAACUGCAUAGCAGCGUCCUCUCAGCACUGGCACCUCAACAGCACCUUAACUAGGGUGACCAAACGUCCGUAUUUUAUGUCCUGUCCCGUCACGGGUUUUUUUUUCAGAAAGUGAGGAAAUGUUCUGUUUUUUAAAUUACCUUCAUUGGACCAGAGAGCAGUAGACAGCUUGACUGUCAGCGUGGAACCCUCCCUCCCCCCCUUCCGGUGUAGUCUCACAGUAAGAGCACACACAACGCUCCACCCCUCAACCGGCUACAGUACCACAACAGUGUAGCAGCCACACCGGCUACAGUACCACCUCAACAGUGUAGCAGCCACACCGGCUACAGUACCACCUCAACAGUGUAGCAGCCACACCGGCUACAGUACCACCACAACAGUGUAGCAGCCACACCGGCUACAGU